UAUAACUGUAUAUAAACGUUACAGUAGUAGGAUUUCUGCUAGAAGACAUUGAUAUUAUAACAUUACACUGCAGUUUAAGGAACCUAAGUUAACAUGGAUUCCAGGAUUGUUGCUAUCGUCUGCACAUACGUGAUGCUCUCGAGCCUUGUGACGUCAUCACCAGUACAGCCUCGGCUUUCUUUGAAGCAUUUUUCACCAACAGACAUAUGCCUGUUUAUGUGCAACAUCUGCUUUGAUGACAUGGGUGUAGAGAUGAUGGAAUGUGCCAAUAACGUUUGCAUGGCCGAACAUCAGUAUGAGAUGAAUCUCGGUCUCCUGAAACUCGGGCGCACGUGCAAGAACUACAAGAAACUGGGUGAUUUUGUGUUCGGCAACGAAACAGACUGAUAUUCUGAAUAAAAACGAAACUUUACUUGCAUAUCUUUAUUGUUCAAACAGUCUUGCAUGUAGCAAGUUGAAAAUAUGAAAUAAAUGUGUUAUUUUUGUAAAAAGUUGUGAUACUUGCUACAUUUGCCAAAAAACGUUUAGGUUCAUUUCUGAUUUCUAGAAAGUUUUUAAAGCACUCGUUCAAAUUGAUGUUGUGUCUGUCUUUCGAAAUAAAGAAAGUGUUUGUA